rnacentral:lncRNA from 1 species
AUAUAUUAAUUUGCCUCCUAAAAAAUUCUACCAAAAGGUUUAGACAAAUAAAAUUAUUAGAAUAUGUAGAUUACAUUGAUGCAAAACAAAAGCCUAAAAGUUCUAAAAGUCAUCACAAUCUUGAGUUGCAGCAACCGUCGAGAUUUCAAAUUUAUGAUGCCAUGCUAUGCUCAAGCGUCACUCCUUGUAUUUCCAUUUUUUCUACCUGCAAAACAACAACAGAAAGACUACAUCAUUAGUAACUGAUAUCCUUAAAGCACCACCAUUGAAAUAUCAUUGCAGCAGUAAUUAUACAAGCAUACACUGAUCAAUUGUGAGCAAAAGAAGAAGCAAGUGGAAGUAAUAUAUUCAGUGCAAACACAUCAUCAAGCAAGCAUCAAUGCAUGGCAAUGGUAAAUAUCAGUCUGAUUAUCCACUUAACAACAAGCCAGCUACUCAAAAAGAAGAUUCAAACUUUCUAUUUAGAAUGCCACAUAUAUAAAUGGUUUCAUAUUAAGUCACUAUGGUAAUCAAAGAAGGAGAAGAAGUAGAACUGAGAGACAGAGAAGCAAGUAGACUAAAGGGAUUUGCAGUUGGUUACCUCGUCGGAGUCGACUCAUCGGACUAUCUCCGAUUUGGCGAGUUUCUUCAUUUUUCCCUCACUUUCU